UAGAAAACCACCAAGCGCAAAGGUAAUGAAUAUUUUAGCGAUUUUACAAAUGUUUUACAUUUCAGAAAUACAACGUAAUUCCUUAUCAUUGAUUUAAAACUAUGGUAUUCAAUGCAUAUUGCAUACAGAACCACCACGUGUGAGCUAAAUCGCAAUGUUGAUUCAAUUACUACAGUAAUAAUAUCUCCAAUACUGAAUUCGAAGUAAGUAUGGUAGGUAUACAAAUUAAUUAAAUUUUGUAACUCAUCACCCUACGUAGAGAUUCGAUGAUACUAACUAGUCCAUAUAUCAUCUGAAUGAUGCAAAAUAUUCGUGUUACGUGAACAGUUAUACACUAAUUCGAAAAAUGUAAAUAAUCCAACAUUAAGAGCAUGCCUAAGCAGCGCAAAUAUUUGCUAGUCCCUAUCAAUGGAGAAUAACAAUCCACUAUGCACUUCCUUCUUCAUUUCUCAUUUCAGAAAUAAUGGUUACAGCUCAUUAUACAUACAGGGUGCAAUUGAGAACAAAAGCUUGUAUGCGCACAAAAUUAUCGAAAAACCUCAAGAAUAGUACGAUUUUUUAGCAAAUAAGUAUUUGCGGCAAUUUAUAUUGCACUGACUUUAUAACACAUUAUCAAAUACAGAUAACGUGCAGAUCAACUUCAGUGCGCCCAAAAAUUAAAAUCAUUAACUAUCACAAAACAAUACUUCUACGAAUCAAGAUCAAUAAAAUCAUUAGGUAUCAUGAAUAAAAUAUCAACUCACCAGUGAAGAUUAAGAGUCCUGCUCAAUAACAAAUGAAUUGCUUCAGUGGAUGUGGCU